rnacentral:rRNA from 1 species
UACGUAGGAGACGAGCGUUGUCCGGAAUUACUGGGCGUAAAGCGCGUGUAGGCGGAUGAGCAAGUCUGCUGUGAAAGCUCCUGGCUUAACCGGGAGUGGUCGGUGGAAACUGCUCGUCUGGAGGACGGUAGAGGUAGGUAGAAUUCCCGGUGUAGUGGUGAAAUGCGUAGAGAUCGGGAGGAAUACCUGUGGCGAAGGCGGCCUACUGGGCCGGACCUGACGCUGAGACGCGAAGGCGUGGGGAGCAAACAGG